AGUGCCUCCCCAUAGUCUCAUUAUCCACAAGAUGCUUUUCAAGACUGAAAUGUUUCAACAACCUGAAGUAUAGUUACCAGAAAUUAAAUAUCUGGAAGCCAAAAUCCCCCGCUGCGAACAGGCAGCUCUCGGUACGCAGAGCUCAUUUACACUCACCCAGACACUUCCCUCUUAACACCGUGACACCCACACGCAAGAAGACUGGCACUUAAUCUUGAAAUGCAUCGAAUUCCUGCCCAAGAAGCACACAAGCCAGUAUCUCUGGUCUUCCCAAACCAGGAAGCCUGCUCUCCAUGGGGAACACAACCCAAAGCCCUCAUCUAACCCAAUCCCUUUCACCCCACCAUCCCAAGGUGCUGAACCAGCAACAAUUAACACUUGAAAGCUUGCCCCAUGAAAACUAAGUCCACCGAACAAGCCAUUCCCAACAGCUCUAAGGUAUCACGAGCCUGUUGAACCAAUAAGCACGACAUUGGCCUCAGCCUGAAGGAACCUUCAAGUUUUAUUUCACUGACUGCACCAUCCCAAGCCAUAGAGCUGACCCUGUUGCUGCUGCAGCAAGGUAGGAUUGCACUGGCUUCAUCCUAAAAACAGAACAUACCUUGUCAAUGGCUAUGUCCUUCCCUGCAGCUGGGCAGUCUGGUGGCUCUCCUGUCACGGUCCCGCUGCUCUGCUCACAGCUCCUUGGAGUUGGCCAUAGAGGUGUGCUCCUCCCACAGCCCCCCACAGCAAGGACAAAGAGGCUGGGGAGGACACAGGGCUCAGCUGCCCAUGUAUAGGAAACUCAGGUAAUUCACCAGCCAUGUCUCUUCCCCCUCAACCCCAACCAUAAACUCUCAAACCACAGAAUCAUUUUGACUACAUUUUCUAACCCAAUCCAAUCCCAGACCUGCUUGUACAAGUCCCGGGCAGUUCCAAAAUGUGUUUCACAUGAAAUGACUCAGAGUACAGGAACAAUCCUUAAGCACACUCCCCCUCAGCCCCAAAUCCUCACUCACAGCACAUCACAUCACUGAGCUGGUUCCCUGCAGUACCUCACUCAGAAUUGAGCAUUUUCCUGUUCUUAUCUCUCACUCCUCUCACUUUUGAUCCUCACUGCUCAGAGAGGCAGGUCAGCCCAUCCACCUCUUCUUUCUAGUGGGUUUCACAAGAGGAACAACUGACCAUAUUAUAUUGUACUUCAAGCUCCUCUUGAAGAUGCUAUUGUCAUUCUUGUCCUUGUCCUCCUCCCCACAGCCCUUUCUUCUCCCUCU
rnacentral:lncRNA from 1 species